rnacentral:tRNA from 1 species
GCGGUGUCCAGCCUGCGGGCCCAGACCAACCCUUCGGGCGCAGGGGGCAGGGUCAGGUCCACGGCCUCGCCGGCGUUCAGAACCGCCAGCACCGCGCC